AUCAGCCACACUGGAACUGAGACACGGUCCAGACUCCUACGGGAGGCAGCAGUGGGGAAUCUUGCGCAAUGGGCGAAAGCCUGACGCAGCGACGCCGCGUGAGUGAUGAAGGCCUUCGGGUUGUAAAAGCUCUGUGGGGCGAGACGAAUAAGUGCAGCCUAAUACGUUGCAUGAUGACGGUAUCGCCUUAGCAAGCACCGGCUAACUCUGUGCCAGCAGCCGCGGUAAGACAGAGGGUGCAAACGUUGUUCGGAAUUACUGGGCGUAAAGCGAGUGUAGGCGGUCUUGUAAGUCGGGUGUGAAAGCCCCGGGCUCAACCCGGGAAGUGCACUCGAAACUGCGAGGCUAGAGUAUCGGAGAGGUUGGUGGAAUUCUCGGUGUAGAGGUGAAAUUCGUAGAUAUCGAGAGGAACACCGGUGGCGAAGGCGGCCAACUGGACGAAUACUGACGCUGAGACUCGAAAGCGUGGGGAGCAAACAGGAUUAGAUACCCUGGUAGUCCACGCCGUAAACGAU
rnacentral:rRNA from 1 species